GCGAACUGCUUCGGUUCCGGGAGGAGCUCCAGCAAGACAGGGCAGCAAGAAAUUCCGAAAAAGCUGAACAGUCUGCAAACGCUUGUCAGCAGGAAGACGACGAGCAGGUUGACCUGGGAGGAUAUAAAGUCAACAAGGCCGUGAUUGACAUGCUUCAGCUAGGACCGGCGAAAACAGCAACGACUUAUGCUCGAGAACUCCUCAGGCAGGUGUUCACCACAGAAGAGCUGCUGGGGAAAUCAAUAACAGGAAAGCAGUCCAACGCCCACAAAGAGAAGGAGGCAAGGCCGCAGUUGGACCCUGUUAGGGUCAACGCAGUUGUCAAAUACACCUGCAAGAAAUUUCACCUUUUGAAAGAAACCACAGUGCGGUCGUCACUGUCGUCUAUGCUAAACAAGACG